rnacentral:rRNA from 1 species
UACGUAGGGGGCGAGCGUUGUCCGGAUUUAUUGGGCGUAAAGAGCUCGUAGGCGGUUCGAUAAGUCGGCUGUGAAAUCUCCACGCUCAACGUGGAGGGGUCAGUCGAUACUGUCGUGACUCGAGUCCGGUAGGGGAGAAUGGAAUUCCCGGUGUAGCGGUGAAAUGCGCAGAGAUCGGGAGGAACACCCGUAGCGAAGGCGGUUCUCUGGGCCGGUACUGACGCUGAGGAGCGAAAGCGUGGGGAGCAAACAGG